rnacentral:rRNA from 1 species
UUAUCGGUACGGGUUGUGGGAGCAAGAUCCCGGAGAUGGAUUCUGAGACAUGAAUCCAGGCCCUACGGGGCGCAGCAGGCGCGCAAACUUUACAAUGCGAGCAAUCGUGAUAAGGAAACCCUGAGUGUCUGUCGAUGCAGGCUGUUCAUAUAUCUAAACCGUAUGUGAAGAAAGGGCAGGGCAAGACCGGUGCCAGCCGCCGCGGUAAUACCGGCUGCUCGAGUGAUGGCCACUAUUAUUGGGUUUAAAGCGUCCGUAGCUUGAUUUUUAGGUCUCUUGGGAAAUCUUUUGGCUUAACCACAAGGCGUCUAAGAGAUACUGGGAAUCUUGGAACCGGGAGAGGUAAGCCGUACUUCGGGGGUAGGAGUGAAAUCUUGUAAUCCUCGAGGGACGACCUAUGGCGAAGGCAGCUUACCAGAACAGCUUUGACAGUGAGGGACGAAAGCUGGGGGAGCAAACGGGAUUAGAUACCCCGGUAGUCCCAGCCGUAAACAAUGUGCGUUAGGUGUGUCAGUUACCACGCGUAACUGAUGCGCCGAAGAGAAAUCGUGAAACGCACCACCUGGGAAGUACGGUCGCAA